CUCUGCUGUUCUCAGUUCAGCUUGUGGAGGGAGCGCAAGGCUGCCUAGGCCUGGAGCAUGGCCGGUGGGGGCACUGAGCUGAGGGAGGAGGCCGAGCUCUUCUUCCAGGACCUGCAGAACAACCCCCUUUCUCCACGAAGGAACCUCAGUGCCCACGUCCAGGUGAACCCUGGAGACCGGCCCACAUUGAAGAGGAGCGAGUGGGGCCAAUGGUCACAGAGAAAGGCCUGCCGAGUCUCAGACACCCCGCCCUGCAUCUCAGGCUGCAGCCAGGAGAGGUUCAGGCACCUCCCACAGUCGAGGCCUCUGAGGCCCCCAGGUUGUUGAGAUACAGGCAGCACAGGCCAUUGGAUAAGCCACAGAUCUCCAUGUCUGAGUUCGGUUACUGGAAGACUAUUGUGAUCUUUUCGUGAUGUCCUGUUUCCUUGAUUCUUCAUCUUCCGUGGAGUUUUGUGUUGCUGUUUCACAUUUGAUGUAUCAGUCACAUUCUCCAGGCUUUACCAGCCGCCUUCAGGUGUGUCUUCUCUGACCAGUUGUGUCCCAAAUUCCCCAGGAGUAUCUAUUCUGACUUGGAACAUCUUACUAGUUCACCAGGUGUGACAACCCUGACCUGGCAGACUUCUUUGUCUCCGAGAUACGUCUACCAUGAAUUUGAAUGCCUCUAUAAUUCUCCACGUGUCCACACUGACAUGGGAUGUCUCCCUAAUUACCCAGGUGUGCCUAUCCUGAAGUGAGAUCUCCUCCUAAACACCCAGUGAAGUCAUCUGUCGGUGGGCCAGUGUUUGUGAACAUAUAUUUGAGAGCUUUGAGAAAUUAUAACACAUUGGGAAGACUACAGUGAUGACUAUGAGAAGAAUAACACCCAAAGUUUGGAGCGCACUCUGAAGCCAAGGUCUUCAUGUCCCAAAUCAGCUGAAAUCAAACAGGUUGAAGAAUGAUUCAGGGUUAAGUUUAACCUGCUUAAGAGCCUAGAAGCAAGGUUCCCUAGGUUUGGCGUUGUUAACCAGAGACAGGGAAAUUGACUCCCACGAUUACGGAGUCUGGCACAAUAGAGAGAGGGCUGAGUCUGCUCCAGAGAAACUGAGGCACUGGAAAGCAGGGAGAAGUUUGUGACGGGCAGAACUACAGGAUCAUCAGCCUCGUGACAAAUCCAAUGGUCAGUUGCAUGACCUCCUUUGUGAUGGUAUGAAAGAUGAGAACAAUGUCAUUAUCUUUCCAGAACAGAGCAAGCAAAAAAGGUGGACAAAAGAAUCAUAAAGACCUUCAUGAUAUAUAAAUUAAGGCAAGAAUUAGGAAAAAGAUAAUCAAAGAGGGGAGGAGGAAUGGAAACAAACUUUCUUGAUCCAAUGUCAUUGGAGGAAGCAGUCUACCACGUGGUGUCAGCUGCUUCUCUUCCUGGUCAAGUUAGUUUUGAUUCUCCGCCAUCAAUGCAGGACCAGAGGGCAGAUCGUUCCACUUGUGAAACGUGCACCCAAGGUUUGACACCUUGUAACUUGGCAGUGGUGUCAGCAUUCAAGAGCGCUUGGUAGAAUCUUUCCAUGAAUCUCUUUGAAGACGAAUCCCUUUUGCAAAAGCAUCAAAGUAAAUCAAUAACUGUCUGUAAGUGACAAAACCUGAUGAGAGUUCAUUGAUUAAGGAAAUCUAGUCAUUUCUGUGGCAUAGGUUUUAACCUCAUAACUGGGAUUAUGAUAACAUUCUACCUGGAUAUAUGAGACUCCUAGGAAUUUCAUAUAAUUUCUGGAACAUUUAUAUUAAUAACAUGUAUCCAUACAAAUAUAACCUAAGAAGCUUUGGCAUCCCUUCUUAUUUCACAAUGCUUUCUAUAUAAUUUAACAUAUCAAAUAAAUCUAAUUAGUUUAACAUCUUACCAGGUAAAAGACAUAUCCUUUGAGAUUUUUCCAGGGGCCCUCUGGAAAAUCUCAAAGUUAGUUUGAAGUCAAAAAAGGCCUCCAUUUAGAAUUUGAUCUUGACAAGUUGUGAAAAAUGUCAAAACAUUUGAUUAAAUUGGAUCAUGGAUUAUUAUGAAAUAAUACUUAAUUAUCUAUUUAACCAACGUGACAAUAGAAGAUUUUCAAGGCAAAUAAAGAAGGUUACAGUUGUGAACAAAAUUUAGCUCUUUUAAUAUUGAGAAGACUCAGCUCUCCCAAGUGAUCAAAGACCUGAUAAAGAUAACAUGAAGCACAAGAAAUUCUGGUAAGAUACAAAAAUCUUUGCUUUCCAGAUAGAUUGCCCAAAAGGCAAAGAAAAACCUUUACAAUUUCUUAUCAAGGGCAGACCCAUAGUCCAAGAAAAUUUUGCCCUUUUCACAGAGAAAAAACCAAAUUCUAGUUUUGCGUUAGUG
ensembl:lncRNA